rnacentral:lncRNA from 1 species
CAGCCUUCUAAGAGAGAUGAGAAAGACAUUAGAAGCUGACAAUACUGGUGGUAGCCUAGCUAUAUUUGGUGUCUAUUCUGCAUGUCUAAGUUCAGGAUGAUUUAUGUCCAUUAAAGGCCAGCAGAACACUCAAGUCUGCCUUCGAUAGGGCAAAACAUAAAGAACGUACGUUAAGAGAUCAGAGAUCUUCAUAAAGGAAUACUGCCUUCCAUCUGAUAUUGCGGGUUUUGUGUAGUAUCUCAAGAUAGUAUUUCAAGAAUGGCAGAAAAGUCUGUAAACAUUUAACUGUUACAGUUGCUUCAUUGUUUGGAAUUGUUUACAUAUCAUCUUAAGCAUCAUAACAUUUUGUGAAUAAAGCAAGUGUUAUUUAAAACUCUAGUAGUUGUCCCAGCGAUUGAGUUCACCUGUUAAAAUACUAGGGAUCCUUACCAACUAAUA